GUGCGAGACCGAUAGCGAACAAGUACCGUGAGGGAAAGAUGAAAAGAACUUUGAAAAGAGAGUUAAAGAGUACCUGAAACUGCUGAAAGGGAACCGAAUCGUAUCCAGUGUCUAUAAUCCAUGGCAUAUUUCAUUGGCGAGUGAGUGCGUGCAGCGUUUUGGAAGUGGUUUUCCGCUCCUGUCGUUGUUGUGCAUUUGCUUGCUGGUGCCCUGUGCUGUGGUGGGACGUCAGAGUCAGUUUGUAUGUUGCGGGAAAUGGUUAUUGGGGAAGUAGGUCACUUCGGUGGCUGUUAUAUCCUGGUAACUAGUCGUCGUGGCUGAGACUGAGGUGCCUACAAUGUGCUUUCGAGUGUGCGGGAUUCUCGUGUGGCUGUUUGCUUUGAUAGCUUGCUAUGUUGGUGAAUAAGUCGUGCGAUUGAGACUUGUAUUAACUUGUUGCUGUUCGGGACUUUGAAA
rnacentral:rRNA from 1 species